AUGCAUGUGGCUACGCCGGGGCGCAUUAUUUUGGUCAAGGCCGUGCUCACUGCCAUUGCCAUUUACCACCUCACGCCUCUAGAUCUUCCGGUUGAAGUGAUGAAGAAGAUCGAUAGCCUGCGACGUGCCUACCUUUGGGCGGGCUGUGAUAAGGUGACCGGCGGAAAAUGUGAGGUUAAUUGGGAUCUCGUCUGCAAG
rnacentral:rRNA from 1 species